GAUGAACGCUAGCGACAGGCUUAACACAUGCAAGUCGAGGGGCAUCGGGACGUAGCAAUACGUUGCCGGCGACCGGCGGAUGGGUGAGUAACGCGUAUGCAACCUGCCCACGACAGGGGGAUAGCCCGUUGAAAGACGGAUUAAUACCCCAUAAAACAGGGGUUCCGCAUGGGACUAUUUGUUAAAGGGUUUUCCGCGAGGGGGAUCCGGUUGUGGAUGGGCAUGCGUUCCAUUAGGCAGUUGGUGGGGUAACGGCUCACCAAACCGACGAUGGAUAGGGGAACCGGGAGGUUGGUCCCCCACACUGGUACUGAGAUACGGACCAGACUCCUACGGGAGGCAGCAGUGAGGAAUUUUGGUCAAUGGACGGAAGUCUGAACCAGCCAAGUCGCGUGAAGGAAGGCGGCCCUAAGGGUUGUAAACUUCUUUUAGUAAGGGAAUAAAGGCCGGUACGCGUUACCGGUUUGCAGGUACCUUACGAAUAAGGAUCGGCUAACUCCGUG
rnacentral:rRNA from 1 species